rnacentral:misc_RNA from 1 species
AACGCAUAUGGCACCCGAGACCUCGGUCGAGGGUAUGUCUGCCUCAGAGUCGGCGUAAAAUCACUCCCCUGUCGAGGUGCCCAAGGGCGCAGCGGCCCGGGGGAACUGACCGUUCCCGCACCGACGGUGCGGGUCGAUCGAAGGCGAGAAACGGGUGCUCACGGCCGAAGUCGUUCCCGGCUGUGACCGAGAUUUGCUGGAAGGACUCACGUCCUACUUUAUCGUCUCGGCACUCCGGGUCUACGGCAGUGCCAAGGACUCCCGCCAUGCAGGAAAUAUCGAGGUUGCGGAAAUAUCUCCGUGCUUUACCUCCCUCUGUAUCCGACCUGAGUUCAGGCAAGAUCACCCGCUGAACUUAA